GCCUGGGUGGCUCAGUUGGUUAAGCGUCUGACUUGGGCUCUGGUCAUGAUUUCAUAGUUUGUGGGUUUGAGCCCCACAUUGGGCU
rnacentral:tRNA from 1 species